UACGUAGGGUGCAAGCGUUAAUCGGAAUUACUGGGCGUAAAGCGUGCGCAGGCGGUGAUGUAAGACAGGUGUGAAAUCCCCGGGCUUAACCUGGGAACUGCAUUUGUGACUGCAUCGCUGGAGUGCGGCAGAGGGGGAUGGAAUUCCGCGUGUAGCAGUGAAAUGCGUAGAUAUCAGGAGGAACACCGAUGGCGAAGGCAGGUCUCUGGGCUGACACUGACGCUCAUGCACGAAAGCGUGGGGAGCAAACAGG
rnacentral:rRNA from 1 species